CAUCUUUUCACUUUGUAUAAAUUUCAGUAAUACUUUUAAGAACACCUAGAGACUCUACCUAUCCACCAUGCACAAAGUUGGCUGUAAGGUAGGACUGGCAAAGGUUCCCAGAUUGCCCAAUGGUUUCUUAAAGGUGAUUCUUGCAAGGCUCUUGGGGAAAGGAAAGUUUACUGGUACCUAUGGAUAAUCACAAAGGUGCUUCACUUCAUGUGGAUGUUUCUGCUCCAUCAGAGAAGAUGCAUUAAACUACCUCCUUAUCUGACAGCACUUAAUCCAUGCACUGGGUCUGCCAGGUCUAAGAAGUUCUUCAUUCUUAUGGGAAUCUGCAUUAACAAAUAGCCACUGAAUACUCUCCUGGAGAUGUAAGCAACCUGUCAAGAUAGGAAGAAGUUAAUAAACAAAGUAUACAGCUGGAAAUCAAAUUCACAUCCCUAUAAUGGCUCUUGCACACUGAGAACCCCUCCUUUGAACAUUGCUUCCCUGAUGUGAUAGCGUUAAAUUUUGCCUACGGUGAGACAACCUGGAGGAAAUUGUUCAGAAUUGUUUGGAGUUUGCUUGAUGCUGUUCUUCUUCUUUCUCUCAUAUUUUUUCAUCUUCUUUGUUUACUCUUUAGGAAAAAUUUGUGUGGCUGUGAAGAUGAUUGAAGCAUCAUUUUCUCAGUUUUUCCCCGGAUUUCUUCUUUGCACUCUAUGCCAUCCUUUCUUCCUGCGACUCUUCCUUUUGUGACAAAAAGCACUGCUAAUUGCAUAGAUUAGCUUCAAAUCCAGGAUCAAAGGUUUAACGCUUCGAUUUUCUGCUUCUUAGGCAUUUUAUUUUUUUUCUCUCAUAUGGGAAAUUUGCAAAACUGUUCACUACAGAAUUGAGUUGAUUUUCCUCUGAAAGUUGAGGGAAAAGGCUAAGCAUGGAAGGGGUAUGUUCUUACUUGACCUUAUCUGUUCUUUUGGCAGGUAUAUACUUUGCAUUAUGUCAUUAAAAGGCAAAGUGAUGGUUUUCAAGUGUUUUUGCAGAGCCAUGCUGCAGAGAGAGGAAAUGCUGCCACUGUGUCAUUUUUACAUUUCCUGAGAGUGAUAAAACAGAACCAACUCUUGGCAUAUAGACUGUUUAUACACUGUUUGCUGAGCUUGGUGAAAAGACGUUAUGUGUUCCUUGUCUAUCAAAAAUUUGUACAGGCAUGGAGAGUGGAUAGGCAGCAUUUUGAAAAGUUCCUUAGGGCUUUUUAGAAAGAUUUUUUAUACUUCAACUGGCAUGAGAGGCUUCCAUUUCAAACGUCAACAAAGGCUGGCAUUUGUGAGCCUGCCUUGCUGCUGAGGGCUGCAAGGAGUCAGAGUUCCCUGUGCAACUCUGAAUCAAGUUCAGCCUUGUGUUCUCAUCUGUAAUCAGAUAAAACAAACAAACAAGAAAGGAUGGGUGGGGAAAGCAUUAAUAUUUUAAACCUGGCUUUACCUGUCUGUUGCCUUUGAAAAUAAAAUUGUGUGUUUGAAUCAGUUUUGGCAGUCAAAUUUUGUGAAAUCUGUUGCAUGCAAUUUGAACAGCCACUAUACCUUCACAACACCCCAGGUGUAGAGAGUUACGCUGACAGUCAACCUAUGAAUUCAAAACUCUGUACAUAAAAGUAGGUAUUGCUAAUGCUGUGCUUAAAACUAUUCCACCAAAGAAAAGAACUUAAUAACAUGGGGGUGGUGAAGGUGAAGCUAUAUGAAAGCAUAGCUUUCCACAGCACAGUGUUGGAGUUAUUUUUCUUACGUACAACCACCACAGAGCUUUCCUUUCCCUUAGCAGCAGCCAAUCAAAAAAACACAAAAGUGGCAGAUGACUAAAGCAUGCUUAAUGACAAACAACAUACAGUUUUCUCAGUGUCUGCAUUAGCUAAUGAAAAUAGAAGCUGAAAGAAUCAGGAGCAGAUCCAUUACAUGGCUUGCUUUUGUGUAAAUUGACUUUAUUUAUGUUUAAGCUUACAGAUAAACAGUUUGUGAUUCCAGAAAUUGCCUGUUAUAUACAGUCCGUUGAUGUGAUAUAUUUUGUUUCUUGAAGGCUUCUGAAGAUAAAAUAAUAAUAAUAAUAAUUACUCUUUCUAUAAUGACAACAUUUUAUCACCACAGAUAAUGAGAGUGCAGAAUUAUGGUUUACUCACCCACACACUGAAGAAAAUCGUGUCAUUCCUACAUCCAUUGCAAGGGAUAGAUUUAUUUUCUUUGUCCUUUCUUUUUUGUUCUUGCUUUUUGGAAACUUGAAUGUCCUCUUUCCCUGGUUUUCUCGCUUGCUCAUCAACAACCUCUAAUGCAAAUUUAUACUAAAUAUUGCUUGAUCACACUCCCAAAUCACAAGAAUUAAUUCUUACCAUUAUUAUUUCUGCUGUCACAAAGAUUUAAAAACAUAAAUAGCUUUUUCUUUUUUUCUUCUUUUUUAUUUUUUAUUUUUGAGGCAAGAAGAAGAAAGGGUAUUGAACAAACACAUGACACUAAAGGAAUAAAAUAUGAACUGAACUUCCUCUAGAUUUCAAGCUAAUUAUUUUUCCCAGUUUGGUUACACACAACUGAGAAACAUUUAAAGGGAUGCAAAUUAGAAGACGGUUAAUACGCAACCUAUGGUUUCAUCUGCCAGUCUUCAAGCAGAAGACCACGCUUCCCCCUCCAACACCAUUUUCAAGUUUUAUAGCUUAGUGUAACCAUUUUAAUUGUUCUUUUUCUGCAAGGCAUGAAGAUAAACCAUGCAUGAAUCAAUACAUGAAUGAAUCAGCCUCUGGUCUAGCUCACUGAUGUACUCAUCAUUUAUAUCCUUGCAUAAUUUACAGAAAUUGAAAGUGUAGUGAGGCUUUGCAUUCAGCUGAAUGUGGUUUGUUUACACAGUCCAAUAGAGUUUCACGUUCCAGAAAAGCUGAUUCUGCAGGGAUUGCUCAAGCAGGAUAAAAACAUCUAAAGCUUUGUGCUAAAAUAGAUGCAGUUAAGUGCCUAGGUGUCCCAUCACUUUUAGCCAAAUCUUAAUGAGAACACUGACAUCUUGGCUUUGUUGUGCAUGGUUUCACUUAAUUCAGAGGUAGCUGGGGCUCCCUGCACAAAAUUCAGUAGGCUGGAGUAUUAGCCUUUGGCUGAAAGAAAGACUAAGAUUCAUCUCAGUGAACUGCAGCUGCUUGAAAGUUAGGCAUCUAAACUAAUUUACUCGUCCAGGUUCCUGCAGUGACUGAGACACCUCCCCCACCUGGCUGUUCCUCUCAUAACCAGGAUUCACCUCCAGAGAUUACCACCUCUUGGAUGCCAUUCUCAAUUCUUCAUUUCCACUAACCUUAACAGGAUGUGAGACCACAAAAAGCAAGACACAUUAACUAUUCCCAGCACUUCUAGAAAAAUACCCUUACUAUCAGCAUGUUUCCUUCUGUUUUCUGUACCCACUUUGGCCAUACAUCACAGGAAUUAGGACUAAUGGGAAGAAAAUCCCUGCCAGGUUUCCUCAGAGCUCUUCUCCUUUGGCAAUGGUGUUUUUCCCCCAUUCUCUCCACUUUCACACAAACACACCCCACCAUUCCCCAGCCAACAAUGGAGACCGGGGGAUGAGGGGGGAGGGCAAACCCUGCAGACUGUCUGCCUCCACAGACUGUUAUUUUGGAUUUCAUUGACCUUUGAUAGGGCAACUCUUUUUCGGAUCGCUCUCUUGGUUGUAUUCUCCAGGGGAUAUGGCUUUUUACAUUACAAAUUUUGAAAGAUUCUAGGGAAGAAUUUCUGUCUCUCAAAAGCCCUAUAUCUGUUUGAAGUGUUUGGGUUUAUCAGUGACAAUUACAAAACAGAAGCAGUCUGUAUGUGAGGAAAGAUUUCUGUUUGUUGUUUGUAAGCUAUUUUCACUUUGGCUGUAGCUGUCAAGGGGGAUUUCACAGCCAUCCACAUUAUGUCUCACCCCUGUAGCUGAUAUCAGAGCAACCUUAGCUGCUUGAGUAGAAAAAAGAAUCAAGGAGACACAUUAUCUUUUAAAGAAAAGGAACAAAAAAUACUUUUGCAGAACCAACCUAGAGCUCUGCAUCAAAUACCAUCUGUGUUUAAAAAGAAACACAGGGUUGUGAUGUUAAUGAAUUAUUGUUAUUUCCUAGAGGCACAGAUGAAGUGUUUGGUUUUGUGCAAAUCAGAAGUCUCAAACCAGCCCUGUCCCAUUAGCACGGCACAUCAAACACCACAAGCUGAUUUUUGGUUUUUUGGUUCAGCUGAAGGCUGAGGAUUUACACCACUAACAACAGCCACGCAUAUGGUCACAUACAGUCAGGAAAUGAACAACUCUGCAUGAACCGAAGAGAGCGAGGGUGCAAUAAAAACAUAUCCUGCAAAGGGAUCUGUGACGGGAAAUGGGAGGAGAGCUCAGCUUGCAAGAGAAGAACAAAGCCUGUCUCUCUCCAGACUCCACUCUUCAGCAACAUACCACUCAGGAAAGGCCCUGAAAUCCAAAACAUCACUGAGGAGAUGUUUCAGUCUGUGUGAAGGUCAACACCCAGGGUACUGAGAGGGCACCAAGAGGUGCAUCGUGACAAAGAGGCCUGUCCCCCUGCAGAGCCUGGGCCUGGGCUUCAGAAGAUGCUGAUGAAGGCACUGGGUUUGUCCCAUCAUCCAAACACUUACAGUAAGUAGUCAAGGCAGCAUCCACUUCUGAAGUAAGAAACUUCACAUUUUAUUCAACUUUGCCAUGUGCAGUUUGCACAUUUGUUUCUGUAACCACGGACAGCUUUUGGAAGCAUAGUUAAGCAGCAAGCAAGCCCAGAAGGUCUGGGAGAGGAUACAAGAGUGUGUCUCUUAAUGCUCCUGAUAUCCCCAAAGCAAAACAGAGAAAUAAAAGCUGUAAGAUUUCUUUAACACAUUAUAAUGGGUUGAGAAGGAGCUUCAAUUCUGUUGUGAGGGUUGGUGGAUUUUUUUGCCCUCUAGGACUUCACUGUUGCCCACCUGAGGCAGAAAAAAGCUUCACCAACAUGACUAGAAAGUGUGUUUCCAGAAGGAAAAGCAGGACAAGGCAGCCACUGGAUGGGUUAAGUAUUAAAUGCACCUACCCUUGCUUAAAGAGCAUUGCAUGGUGACAUUUUGGUGACUUUGUCUGUUUUGGUGACAUAGAAUAUCUAGUGAUGCCAUGAAAGUGACCUUCCUGUUUGCAGAGAGAUUUACACGCUAUAAGACAUGUGCCCUACUGAUAUCUUGGCCACCUGCUGUCGUGCUUUAUCUGAUUAACAUUUCAUUGAUUUUUCAUGUAAUAGUCAUAUCCAUUCCCAUAGUUUAUAAUCCAAAGUCUUCAAUUGUGUGGAUAUCUGCACACACCUGACAUAUAUGGUAUACCUGGACAUGUUUUAUUCAUAUAUUUUGAGACCUAGAACUAGAAUUAUCUUAGAGUAAUUAGCCAUGACAGAGGAGCACUAAAUCAGAUGAUAAGCAAGCAUGGUAAAACAUAAAAUGGAUUAUUUCUUCUCUCAUGUUACCAAUAAAUGGAAAAAAAACUUUGGUGUGUUUGGCAGUGCUCCACUUCCUUUACUUCACAACUGUGUGAAAUGAGAGAGGUAUUUUGUAAUAAUGCAGGUAUACUACAUCUAAAAACAAAUACAGCAUUUUCUCUCCUUCACCUAGGAGAAAAUGAGAGCAAAGUUAAACUCACAUCUUCAGAGCAGUGCCGACAGGUCUUUGAACACAUGCAGACAGGAGAGUUGAUUGGGUCACUCAGGCUAAUGGUGCUACUUGUGGAGAUGAUUCAAAGUGCUCCAAGUCAGUAAUCACCUAAUUGGCCUCGGUGGACUUCAGAUCUUUGCUUCCCAUAACAAAGGUUAGAAUCUGCUCAAACUUAUCUGCGAAUUUCAAGUUUGUCCCUAAGUUAUAGUAAAGCAUGUGAUAUAGUCUGUACUUUCUUGUAAUUAUUGUCAUUUCUUGCUGUUGACAGAUGAGGUGGUAUAUUGCUCCUCAGACAUGGAUGAGAUGCAUACUUCCAUCUGAGAAAUCAAGUCAGAACAGAAUAAGAUGCUUGAAGACUCCUGACAGGAAAAGACAAAAGAAGAUUAGAAACCUUGCACGCAGCAGCAAAAACAGACUGUGAAUAUUGAAAGCAGGAUCCUGGAUUUUAAAUACAAGCUCAAUUUUCAUGUUUGGAUUUAACCUCUGCAUGUGAGCACAUCUGCCAGAUGAUCCAACCCACUGAUGCUACCUGCCCUCCUAAGUUGAUCUCCCUGGCUGAAGGGUCAGGAGGAGUACUGCCAACCUGGACAGGGUUUCUCAUCUUGAAGCAGAAGAUAGGAAGAGUACAUUCAAGUUAUGAAAUGCAGCAUCAGGGAGAAGAACAGUGCUGGGCCAAAAACCUUGCUUUGCCCCACCACUCAGCAUCGUGCUGCAGCAGGGAGAGGGCAGCAGUCCCUCUGGUACCCCUAUUCUCCAUGCAAAGAGCAGCAGACGGCGGUGAUCAGAUCCAGCCUUGCUGACCUUGCACCAACAUGGAUAUGGAGCAGCCACAUGAGUAGUCAACUUUUGAAUAAAUCACACUGCUCCUGCCACUCACAGUGCUGUCAAGUUACUUGUCAAAAUCAACGUGGUCAGGCAGAAAGGUCACCAAAUGUAAGAGGAUUUUUUUUUUCAUGGAAAAGAUUUCCUCUUCUUCUGUUUGGCACCACCAAGCACGACCUGUGUCCAUCACUUGCCAUGAGCAUCACCCUGCUGUGCUAUCUCCCAUAUCAUCAGAGCUUGCCACACUUCUAGAGGAAGCUGAGCUCAUGUUUCUUUUUCAGGUAUGCUCUGACAAGCCAUGCAGCUUUGUACCUAGCUGGUACGUGUGUAGGUACUGAAUGCCAUCCAGCACUGUACGCCAAUUAAGUAAAUGCACUUUGAGAACAGAUGUGACAUUUAAAAAGUCCCUGCAAAACCUCUUUCAGCAAAACAUCAAGCAAAACAUUAGCAGCACUCUGAAGAAUUUCUGAGAAAAUGUGAGAUGAUUUUACUUCUGCAACAACAGCAACAAAAAUAAACGCAAGGCAGGAAGAGGAAAACACACUUGUUAAAUAACAGCCAAAUCAGCCGGUGUGAAAAUCUGAUGAGAAGUUAUUGACUGCAAAGGAGUACGUGUGCAUAUACCACAUCACUGCCACAGAGACACAGGAUGUUGUUAGUACAAUGAGAACCUUUGCUCAGCUGUCAUUAAACCGCAGGCUGUACUCACUCUUGGUCUGUUUGACUAAUUCUCAGAUACAUUUCACAGUAUCAGCUGUUCUGCUGGAUAAGUUACGCCAACUGCUCUCCCUCUGACAGGAUGAACUGAGUUGCUUCUUGUUGAUACUGAAGAAACAAGGCUGCACGUGCUAUCUGCUCCUCCCCACGCUCUCAAAAACAAAACACCAUGGUGGUGCAUAGAGAACCUGGACACCACACCAGUAAAUGCUUACAUAUGUCCUGAAUGUCACUCCAGAUCCUCCCACUUUGACCUAUUGCAGGGUUUAAUCCCACCUGCUAUUAAAUAAACAGCAGGAUUCCCAUUGAAAAGAAGCUAAGUUCUCUUGUCCUUGCAGGAACAGGAGUAUGCCCAGAGAAGUACAUGUUUUUUUUCUCUCACUAAUGCUGCAUUAAACAAACCCCGUGUUCCAAAUAGCAAUAAUAAUCAACUACAUAACCCUCCCAUAAGGUAGAUGAAGUGGUGUAGGCAGGGGUCAAUGCAGUUCAUGCAGCUCUAACUUGGGCUGUGCAGAGUUUUCCCACUGCUGGGCUUGGAGAACAAACGUGAAUGUUAUUUAUCUGUCAUUUUAAUUACUGCCAUAGCACUGGCACAGUGAAGAAAAGCACUGUGAAGCAGAAACUGGUAGCUGUAUUUCCUGCAGUACUCCUGUCUUCAAAGGACAAAGAAGUAAAACACAAGAUAUGUUUCCGGCUCUUCCACAAGCAUCUCCCAAGUUCCAUAGGAAAAAAGGCUCUUUGCCAACAGUUACAAAAGUCUUUUAUAUGACCACAUGUAUAUUCACACAUGUACUCUGAAAUUACUGAGAAGUCAGACAUGAGGAAAAGUGAUUUUUUUUCAAAAUUAGUAGCCAGAAUUAGAAAUGGGCAAUAGAUGUCCUUACUCAGAGCCUUCCUUUGAACAUCAGGACACAGUUCAAGCAAGAAACACUGGUAAAUUUAGCAAGAUUUCCCAGACACAUUACUGAGCUUUGACGAGAUGUGUUCUUUGUGAACUCUCAGCAGUUCCCUUGUCUGGUAGGCAUCUGCAACAUGCUGAAAUGCCCUAGUGCUGCUCUGUUCUCACCUAAGCAAUGUAGCUGACCUUUCCAUAUCAGUCCUUGUGUGUAGCAUGAUAGCUUUAACCGGGCAAGACAAAGAAAAGCCAACAUAACGUGGCUGCAGUCACGUUAUCUGUCUGAGAGACUUUCUUUACUGCCUCUUUAGCUGAACAGUGAAUGAAUGGCACUUUUGCAGAUUUAACCUUUCCUUUAUGUUAUUUCUCCUUUCUCUGAGUCACGAGGAUUUCAUUCUCUGUUCUGUAGCUCACCUGCAAAAAGUACCAUUUCCUUCUUCUGCCACAAAACAUGCGCUCACAGUGUAGAGACAGAAGAAACACUGCUAUCAUUUCCCCUUGGCCGAUGUGAGGAGAUCAUGCAGCUAAAGGCAGCAGUGUCUGUGCCGUGUUUACAUUCCUGCUGAGCAGGUACAGACAGGGCACAGACCCAGAUGUGUCAACUGGGGCACUGCUGUGCACACACAAAAAAAUCAUCAAGAAAUUGAAGUUCUGCCAAAGGGAAACUCAGGGGUCUUUUUGCAGCAUCCAGGGCAGGGAUUAAUGCUGGCAAUUGUGCGCGGCUUUUAAUUUCCUAGGGGUGACAUUUCUGAUGCCAUAAAGGCAUAAUUCUGUGGUUCAUUUUGUUUCUACUUACCCAGCAUACCUCUCAUAAAGAAGAGCAAUAGAUUAUUAUCUGACUUGUUCUUGCUGUUUUACAGACAGCAUUUUGCGAGGGUUGCCUUGUCCAUUCUGAGGAUGCUUUCAAAACACUACUCAAAAAGGGCUUUUUUUUCCCCCCAGUUUUAAAAGAUGAACUCCUCUUUCUAUGUUAUUUCUAUGAAUGUCCAACAUGAUUCAAAUUUUUCACAUGCAAUUCCUGAAUAUGAGUGCCUCCUCUAUUGCAUAUCUGACAACAACACAAUUGUGUUUGGAGAGUGAGUGCAAGGGCAUGCACAAAGUCUGGCCUCUGGAACAUCGCUCACACUGGAAGUAAUCGGAACUGCGAUAUCCUAAAUAAUAACACAUUUUUUAAAAUAGCAGCAACAAUCCCCUUUCUAGGGAUGCUUUAUGAUGCUGACUGCUUAAAUAGUCCCACCAAGGGGGCUGCGCAUGCAACAGGUUUCCGAAGAGCUCUGAUUCUGUCCCACCCGAUCACAGAGUGAGGGGGAAUCUUUCUAUAAGGAAAUUUUCAUAUUCAUAAAAAAAAGAUAUGUCUACAGCUUAAUUUGUGGGCCGAUAUGAAAGGCACUGGCAAAGAGUUCCUCAAAAUUUAGAUUUUUGUUAGAAAUCGUUUGUUAGCUAUGAAUCCUUUCCCUUUCCUUGCACCACAAAUAGCUGAGUCAGCAAACGAGAUGUUUCUUUGUAUCAUGAAGACAACAUAUUUGCCCCCAUAUAAGUUUCCUUUGGCCUUUUUUUGAUUGUUUGUUUGUUUUGUUUGUUUGUUUGUAGACACAGCUCAUGAAAAUCAAGGUAGUCCAAAACUGCUACAUUUUACGUGUAGGCACAAGGACUUGGAUAAGACAGCCAUUAUCAUCCUUUCAGCAAGGCCAGUGGUAUAGCUGAGCAGAAUCUUGCCCUAUAUCAGUACAGUGAGCACCAAGGGUGCAAAGCUGGAGAAAUGAGCAGGGCUUUCUGAGCCAAGGAGAUAGCUUCCACCCAAGGUCCCUGUCCAUAGCUCCUCAUCUCUUCCCUGGACACAUACACCUGAUCUUCCUGCCCACAAGCAUGCACUGUGCUGCAGGAGCUAACAGGAAGAUGUGUUUGGGAUGGCUCUGCUGAGGGACAGAGGCUUUCCUGUCACCAGCAGCACAGAGGGAGGGACAGGUCACCUCCAAGACACAUACUGCAUGUGCAAAGAAUAUGGCUUUUGCAGCUUGAACAGGGGAAAGGCAGGGAGGAUCCAAUCCAGCCAGCAGAGAGGAAAAGAAAACACAGUGAUAGUGAGACAAGAUAUCUUGGGAAACUGCAAACAUCUUACCUAAUGAGCUCUGAGGGUCACAGCACCACCAGUCUGGUCCACUGCCCAAGACGCUUCUUCCAGUUGCUCUGUGUCACAUGGCCUCG
rnacentral:lncRNA from 1 species